rnacentral:rRNA from 1 species
CCUACGGGUGGCAGCAGUGGGGAAUAUUGCACAAUGGGGGAAACCCUGAUGCAGCGACGCCGCGUGAGUGAAGAAGUAUUUCGGUAUGUAAAGCUCUAUCAGCAGGGAAGAAAAUGACGGUACCUGAUUAAGAAGCCCCGGCUAACUACGUGCCAGCAGCCGCGGUAAUACGUAGGGGGGAAGCGUUAUCCGGAUUUACUGGGUGUAAAGGGAGCGUAGACGGCAACAUAAGUCUGGAGUGAAAUGCCGGGGCUUAACCCCGGAACUGCUGUGGACACUGUGCAGCUAGAGUGGAGGAGAAGUAAGUGGAAUGCGUAGUGUAGCGGUGAAAUGCGUAGAUAGUAGGAGGAACACCAGUGGCGAAGGCGGCUUACUGGACUGUAACUGACGUUGAAGCUCGAAAGCGUGGGGAGCAAACAGGAUUAGAUACCCGGGUAGUC